rnacentral:rRNA from 1 species
GACAGAGGGUGCAAACGUUGUUCGGAAUUACUGGGCGUAAAGCGUGUGUAGGCGGUUUGCUAAGUCGGGUGUGAAAGCCCCGGGCUCAACCCGGGAAGUGCACUCGAAACUGGCAGGCUAGAGUACUGGAGAGGUUGGUGGAAUUCUCGGUGUAGAGGUGAAAUUCGUAGAUAUCGAGAGGAACACCGGUGGCGAAGGCGGCCAACUGGACAGAUACUGACGCUGAGACACGAAAGCGUGGGGAGCAAACGGG